rnacentral:rRNA from 1 species
GGAGACAGGUGCUGCAUGGCGUGUCGUCAGCUCGUGUCGUGAGAUGUUGGGUUAAGUCCCGCAACGAGCGCAACCCUUGCCUUUAGUUGCCAGCAGUUCGGCUGGGCACUCUAAAGGGACUGCCGGUGUUAAACCGGAGGAAGUGGGGAUGACGUCAAGUCCUCAUGGCCUUUAUGACCAGGGCUACACACGUACUACAAUGGCCGAUACAAGGCAGCGACACUGCGAGGUGAAGCCAAUCCCGUAAAAUCGGUCUCAGUCCGGAUUGGAGUCUGCAACUCGACUCCAUGAAGUUGGAAUCGCUAGUAAUCGUGGAUCAGCAUGCCACGGUGAAUACGUUCCCGGGCCUU